GGGGCGUAGGCGGCGUGGAUUAGGCAUGCAAGUCGCGCGAUAACUGUAGCAAUACAGGGAAAGCGGCGUAAGGGACAGUAAUACCUAGAAACGUACCCCCGGGUCUGGGAUAGCGGCGGGAAACUGCCGGUAAUACCAGAUAACGUCUCCGGACCAAAGGUGUGAUUCCACCUGGGGAGCGGUCUAGGCCCUAUUAGCUUGUUGGUGGGGUAACGGCCUACCAAGGCAGAGAUGGGUAGCAGGUGUGAGAGCACGACCUGCGUCACUGGGACUGAGACACUGCCCAGACACCUACGGGUGGCUGCAGUCGAGAAUCUUCGGCAAUGGGCGCAAGCCUGACCGAGCGACGCCGCGUGCGGGAUGAAGGCCUUCGGGUUGUAAACCGCUGUCGUAGGGGAUGAAAUUCCGGUGGGUUCUCCCAUCGGAUUGACAGAUCCUAGGAGGAAGGACGGGCUAAGUUCGUGCCAGCAGCCGCGGUAAUACGAACCGUCCAAACGUUAUUCGGAAUCACUGGGCUUACAGAGUUCGUAGGCGGUGGAGAAAGUAGGGUGUGAAAGCCCUCGGCCUAACCGAGGAAUUGCGCCCUAAACUACUUCGCUGGAGGAGGAUAGAGGUGAGCAGAACUGAUGGUGGAGCGGUGAAAUGCGUUGAUAUCAUCAGGAAUACCGGAGGCGAAGGCGGCUCACUGGGUCCUUUCUGACGCUGAGGAACGAAAGCUAGGGGAGCGAACGGGAUUAGAUACCCCGGUAGUCCUAGUCGUAAACGAUGAGCACUAGACCGGAGCUCUGCACAGGGUUUCGGUCGUAGCGAAAGUGUUAAGUGCUCCCCCUGGGGAGUAUGGUCGCAAGGCUAACUCAAAGGAACGA
rnacentral:rRNA from 1 species